UCGGGGCAUAAUAAAAUAAUAUAAUUAGGUUUUACUCUUUGUUCGCAAGAAUGAGAAAAAGUACUCAUUGCAAAGUUAUAAUCUUAUGGAGCAACUGAGCAGUCUAAUGUUUUUCCGGUUUUUGUUCUUCCGAACAUUGACAUCGAUAUGUUGCAAAUUUACACUCUCGGGGCAUAAUAGAAUAAUAAAAUUAGGUUUUACUCUUUGUUCGUUUGAACGAUAAAAAGUACUCAUUGCAAAGUUAUAAUCUCAUGGAGCAACUGAGCAGUCUAAUAUUUUUCCAGUUUUGGUACUUGUGAACGUUGACAUCGAUAAGUUGAAAAUUUACACUCUCGGGGAAUAAUGGACCAAUAUAAUUAGGUUUUACCCUUUGUUCGGUUGAAGGAGAAAAUGUACUCGUUGAAAAGUUAUACUAUUAGGGCGCAACAGAGAAGUCUAAUGUUGGUCCGGUUUUAGUUCUUGUGAACGUUGACAUCGAUACGUUGCAAAUUUACACUCUCGGGGCAUAUUAAAAUAUUAUAAUUAGGUUUUACUCGUUGUUCGUUUGAAUGAGAAAAAGUACUCAUUGCAAAGUUAUAAUCUUAUGGAGCAACUGAGCAGUCUAAUAUUUUUCCGGUUUUGGUUCUUCUAACAUUGACAUCGAUACGUUGCAAAUUUACACUCUCGGGGCAUAAUAGAACAAUAUAAUUAGGAUUUACUCUUUGUUCGAUUGAAUGAGAAAAAGUGCUCGUUGCAAAGUUAUACUGUUAGGGCGCCACUGAGUAGUCUUCUGUAGGUCUGGUUUUGGUUUAUGUGCAUGUUGACAUUGAUACAUUGCAAAUUUAUACAUUCGGGGCAUAAUAUAACAAUAUAAUUAGGUUUUACUCUUCGUUCGGUUGAAUGAGAAAAAGUACUCGUUGCCAAGUUAUACUGUUAGGGCGCAACUGAGUAGUCUAAUGUAUGUCCGGUUUUGGUUAUUGUGAACGUUGACAUUGAUACGUUGUAAAUUUACACUCUCGGGGCAUAAUAGAACAAUAUAAUUAGGUUUUACUCUUUGUUCGGUUGAAUGAGAAAAAGUACUCGUUGCAAAGUUAUACUGUUAGGGCGCAACUGAGUGGGCUACAGUUGGUCUGGUUUUGGUUUAUGUGAAAGUUGACAUCGAUAAGUUGCAAAUUUACACUCUCGGGGCAUAAUAGAAUAAUAUAAAUAGGUUUAACUCUUUGUUCGAUUGAAUGAGAAAAAGCACUGUUUGCAAAGUUAUACUGUUAGGGCGCAACUAAGAAGGCUACUGUUGGUCUGGUUUUGGUUAACGUGAACGUUGACAUCGAUACGUUGCUAAUUUACACACUCGGGGCAUAAUAAAACAAUAUAAUUAGGUUUUACUUUUCGUUCGGUUGAAUGAGAAAAAGUACUCGUUGCCAAGUUAUACUGUUAGGGCGCAACUGAGUUGUCUAAUGUUUGUCCGGUUUUGGUUAUUGUGAACGUUGACAUUGAUACGUUGCACAUUUACACUCUCGGGGCAUAAUAGACCAAUAUAAUUGGGUUUUACUCAUUGUUCGGUUGAAGAUGAAAAAGUACUCGUUGAGAAGUUAUACUGUUAGUGCGCAACAGAGUAGUCUAAUGUUGGUCCGGUUUUGGUUUUUGUGAACGUUGACAUCGAUGCGUUGCAAAUUUACACUCUCGGGGCAUAAUAAAACAAUAUAAUUAGGUUUUACUCUUUGUUCGUUUGAAUGAGAAAAAGUACUCAUUGCAAAGUUAUAAUCUUAUGGAGCAACUGAGCAGUCUAAUGUUUUUUCGGUUUUGGUUCUUCCGAACAUAGACAUCGAUACGUUGCAAAUUUACACACUCGGGGCAUAAUAGAACAAUAUAAUUAGGUUUUACUCUUUGUUCGAUUGAAUGAGAAAAAGUACUCGUUGCAAAAUUAAACUGUUAGGGCGCAACUGAAUAGUCUACUGUUGGUCUCGUGUUGGUUUAUGUGAACGUUUACAUCAAUACGUUGCAAAUUUAUACACUCGAGGAAUAAUAGAACGACAUAAUUAG
rnacentral:lncRNA from 1 species